GCUCCCUGAGAUUAGCGGCGGACGGGUGAGUAACACGUGGGCAACCUGCCUAUAAGACUGGGAUAACUUCGGGAAACCGGAGCUAAUACCGGAUACGUUCUUUUCUCGCAUGAGAGAAGAUGGAAAGACGGUUUACGCUGUCACUUAUAGAUGGGCCCGCGGCGCAUUAGCUAGUUGGUGAGGUAAUGGCUCACCAAGGCGACGAUGCGUAGCCGACCUGAGAGGGUGAUCGGCCACACUGGGACUGAGACACGGCCCAGACUCCUACGGGAGGCAGCAGUAGGGAAUCUUCCGCAAUGGACGAAAGUCUGACGGAGCAACGCCGCGUGAACGAAGAAGGCCUUCGGGUCGUAAAGUUCUGUUGUUAGGGAAGAACAAGUACCAGAGUAACUGCUGGUACCUUGACGGUACCUAACCAGAAAGCCACGGCUAACUACGUGCCAGCAGCCGCGGUAAUACGUAGGUGGCAAGCGUUGUCCGGAAUUAUUGGGCGUAAAGCGCGCGCAGGUGGUUCUUUAAGUCUGAUGUGAAAGCCCACGGCUCAACCGUGGAGGGUCAUUGGAAACUGGGGAACUUGAGUGCAGAAGAGGAAAGUGGAAUUCCAAGUGUAGCGGUGAAAUGCGUAGAGAUUUGGAGGAACACCAGUGGCGAAGGCGACUUUCUGGUCUGUAACUGACACUGAGGCGCGAAAGC
rnacentral:rRNA from 2 species